GACGAACGCUGGCGGCGUGCCUAAUACAUGCAAGUAGAACGCACAGUUUAUACCGUAGCUUGCUACACCAUAGACUGUGAGUUGCGAACGGGUGAGUAACGCGUAGGUAACCUGCCUGGUAGCGGGGGAUAACUAUUGGAAACGAUAGCUAAUACCGCAUAAUAUUAAUUAUUGCAUGAUAAUUAAUUGAAAGGUGCAAUUGCACCACUACCAGAUGGACCUGCGUUGUAUUAGCUAGUAGGUGAGGUAACGGCUCACCUAGGCGACGAGACAUAGCCGACCUGAGAGGGUGAUCGGCCACACUGGGACUGAGACACGGCCCAGACUCCUACGGGAGGCAGCAGUAGGGAAGCUUCGGCAAUGGAGGAGAGUGUGACCGAGCAACGCCGCGUGAGUGAAGAAGGUUUUCGGAUCGUAAAGCUCUGUUGUAAGAGAAGAACGGGGGUGAGAGUGGAAAGUUCACAGUGUGACGGUAUCUUACCAGAAAGGGACGGCUAACUACGUG
rnacentral:rRNA from 1 species